rnacentral:piRNA from 1 species
UCUCACUGAAAGAAGAAAAAGGCCGAAGU